GACGAACGCUGGCGGCGUGCUUAACACAUGCAAGUCGAACGGAAAGGCCCUGCUUUUGUGGGGUGCUCGAGUGGCGAACGGGUGAGUAACACGUGAGUAACCUGCCCUUGACUUUGGGAUAACUUCAGGAAACUGGGGCUAAUACCGGAUAGGAGCUCCUGCUGCAUGGUGGGGGUUGGAAAGUUUCGGCGGUUGGGGAUGGACUCGCGGCUUAUCAGCUUGUUGGUGGGGUAGUGGCUUACCAAGGCUUUGACGGGUAGCCGGCCUGAGAGGGUGACCGGCCACAUUGGGACUGAGAUACGGACCAGACUCCUACGGGAGGCAGCAGUGGAGAGUAUUGCACAAUGGGCGGAAGCCUGAGGCAGCAACGCCGCGUGCGGGAUGACGGGCUUCGGGUUGUGAACCGCUUUCGCCUGUGACGAAGCGUGAGUGACGGUAAUGGGUAAAGAAGCACCGGCUAACUACGUG
rnacentral:rRNA from 1 species